UUCGCCUACGGGAGGCAGCAGUCGGGAAUAUUGCGCAAUGGAGGAAACUCUGACGCAGCGACGCCGCGUGAGGGAUGAAGGUCUUCGGAUCGUAAACCUCUGUCAGCAGGGAAGAACGGUCACUGUGCUAAUCAGCAGUGAAUUGACGGUACCUGCAAAGGAAGCACCGGCUAACUCCGUGCCAGCAGCCGCGGUAAUACGGAGGGUGCGAGCGUUAAUCGGAAUUACUGGGCGUAAAGCGCUCGUAGGCGGUAUGUCAAGUCAAGGGUGAAAUCCCCGCGCUCAACGUGGGAACUGCCUUUGAA
rnacentral:rRNA from 1 species